rnacentral:ribozyme from 1 species
UUUUUUCUUUUUUUCUUUUUUUUUUUUUUUCUUUUUUUUUCUUUUU